UACGGAGAGGCCCAAACGUUAUUCGGAAUUACUGGGCUAAAGAGUUCGUAGGCGGCGCGGAAAGUGGGGUGUGAAAUCCCUCGGCUCAACCGAGGAAUUGCGCUCCAAACUGCCGUGCUUGAGGGACCUAGAGGUGAGCGGAACUGAUGGUGGAGCGGUGAAAUGCGUUGAUAUCAAUCAGGAACACCGGAGGCGAAGGCGGCUCACUGGGGGUCUUCUGACGCUGAGGAACGAAAGCCAGGGGAGCGAACGGG
rnacentral:rRNA from 1 species